GGGUUGUGAGGUUAAGCGACUAAGCGUACACGGUGGAUGCCCUGGCAGUCAGAGGCGAUGAAGGACGUGCUAAUCUGCGAUAAGCGUCGGUAAGGUGAUAUGAACCGUUAUAACCGGCGAUUUCCGAAUGGGGAAACCCAGUGUGAUUCGUCACACUAUCAUUAACUGAAUCCAUAGGUUAAUGAGGCGAACCGGGGGAACUGAAACAUCUAAGUACCCCGAGGAAAAGAAAUCAACCGAGAUUCCCCCAGUAGCGGCGAGCGAACGGGGAGCAGCCCAGAGCCUGAAUCAGUGUGUGUGUUAGUGGAAGCGUCUGGAAAGGCGCGCGAUACAGGGUGACAGCCCCGUACACAAAAAUGCACAUGCUGUGAGCUCGAUGAGUAGGGCGGGACACGUGGUAUCCUGUCUGAAUAUGGGGGGACCAUCCUCCAAGGCUAAAUACUCCUGACUGACCGAUAGUGAACCAGUACCGUGAGGGAAAGGCGAAAAGAACCCCGGCGAGGGGAGUGAAAAAGAACCUGAAACCGUGUACGUACAAGCAGUGGGAGCACAGAGCAAUCUGUGUGACUGCGUACCUUUUGUAUAAUGGGUCAGCGACUUAUAUUCUGUAGCAAGGUUAACCGAAUAGGGGAGCCGAAGGGAAACCGAGUCUUAACUGGGCGUUAAGUUGCAGGGUAUAGACCCGAAACCCGGUGAUCUAGCCAUGGGCAGGUUGAAGGUUGGGUAACACUAACUGGAGGACCGAACCGACUAAUGUUGAAAAAUUAGCGGAUGACUUGUGGCUGGGGGUGAAAGGCCAAUCAAACCGGGAGAUAGCUGGUUCUCCCCGAAAGCUAUUUAGGUAGCGCCUCGUGAAUUCAUCUCCGGGGGUAGAGCACUGUUUCGGCAAGGGGGUCAUCCCGACUUACCAACCCGAUGCAAACUGCGAAUACCGGAGAAUGUUAUCACGGGAGACACACGGCGGGUGCUAACGUCCGUCGUGAAGAGGGAAACAACCCAGACCGCCAGCUAAGGUCCCAAAGUCAUGGUUAAGUGGGAAACGAUGUGGGAAGGCCCAGACAGCCAGGAUGUUGGCUUAGAAGCAGCCAUCAUUUAAAGAAAGCGUAAUAGCUCACUGGUCGAGUCGGCCUGCGCGGAAGAUGUAACGGGGCUAAACCAUGCACCGAAGCUGCGGCAGCGACGCUUAUGCGUUGUUGGGUAGGGGAGCGUUCUGUAAGCCUGCGAAGGUGUGCUGUGAGGCAUGCUGGAGGUAUCAGAAGUGCGAAUGCUGACAUAAGUAACGAUAAAGCGGGUGAAAAGCCCGCUCGCCGGAAGACCAAGGGUUCCUGUCCAACGUUAAUCGGGGCAGGGUGAGUCGACCCCUAAGGCGAGGCCGAAAGGCGUAGUCGAUGGGAAACAGGUUAAUAUUCCUGUACUUGGUGUUACUGCGAAGGGGGGACGGAGAAGGCUAUGUUGGCCGGGCGACGGUUGUCCCGGUUUAAGCGUGUAGGCUGGUUUUCCAGGCAAAUCCGGAAAAUCAAGGCUGAGGCGUGAUGACGAGGCACUACGGUGCUGAAGCAACAAAUGCCCUGCUUCCAGGAAAAGCCUCUAAGCAUCAGGUAACAUCAAAUCGUACCCCAAACCGACACAGGUGGUCAGGUAGAGAAUACCAAGGCGCUUGAGAGAACUCGGGUGAAGGAACUAGGCAAAAUGGUGCCGUAACUUCGGGAGAAGGCACGCUGAUAUGUAGGUGAAGUCCCUCGCGGAUGGAGCUGAAAUCAGUCGAAGAUACCAGCUGGCUGCAACUGUUUAUUAAAAACACAGCACUGUGCAAACACGAAAGUGGACGUAUACGGUGUGACGCCUGCCCGGUGCCGGAAGGUUAAUUGAUGGGGUCAGCGCAAGCGAAGCUCUUGAUCGAAGCCCCGGUAAACGGCGGCCGUAACUAUAACGGUCCUAAGGUAGCGAAAUUCCUUGUCGGGUAAGUUCCGACCUGCACGAAUGGCGUAAUGAUGGCCAGGCUGUCUCCACCCGAGACUCAGUGAAAUUGAACUCGCUGUGAAGAUGCAGUGUACCCGCGGCAAGACGGAAAGACCCCGUGAACCUUUACUAUAGCUUGACACUGAACAUUGAGCCUUGAUGUGUAGGAUAGGUGGGAGGCUUUGAAGUGUGGACGCCAGUCUGCAUGGAGCCGACCUUGAAAUACCACCCUUUAAUGUUUGAUGUUCUAACGUUGACCCGUAAUCCGGGUUGCGGACAGUGUCUGGUGGGUAGUUUGACUGGGGCGGUCUCCUCCUAAAGAGUAACGGAGGAGCACGAAGGUUGGCUAAUCCUGGUCGGACAUCAGGAGGUUAGUGCAAUGGCAUAAGCCAGCUUGACUGCGAGCGUGACGGCGCGAGCAGGUGCGAAAGCAGGUCAUAGUGAUCCGGUGGUUCUGAAUGGAAGGGCCAUCGCUCAACGGAUAAAAGGUACUCCGGGGAUAACAGGCUGAUACCGCCCAAGAGUUCAUAUCGACGGCGGUGUUUGGCACCUCGAUGUCGGCUCAUCACAUCCUGGGGCUGAAGUAGGUCCCAAGGGUAUGGCUGUUCGCCAUUUAAAGUGGUACGCGAGCUGGGUUUAGAACGUCGUGAGACAGUUCGGUCCCUAUCUGCCGUGGGCGCUGGAGAAUUGAGGGGGGCUGCUCCUAGUACGAGAGGACCGGAGUGGACGCAUCACUGGUGUUCGGGUUGUCAUGCCAAUGGCACUGCCCGGUAGCUAAAUGCGGAAGAGAUAAGUGCUGAAAGCAUCUAAGCACGAAACUUGCCCCGAGAUGAGUUCUCCCUGACUCCUUGAGAGUCCUGAAGGAACGUUGAAGACGACGACGUUGAUAGGCCGGGUGUGUAAGCGCAGCGAUGCGUUGAGCUAACCGGUACUAAUGAACCGUGAGGCUUAACCUUACAACGCCGAAGCUGUU
rnacentral:rRNA from 1 species